AUACGGAGGGUGCAAGCGUUACUCGGAAUCACUGGGCGUAAAGCGCGCGCAGGCGGGCUGAUAAGUUGGAUGUGAAAGCCUACGGCUCAACCGUAGAACUGCAUCCAAAACUGUCAGUCUAGAGUCUGGGAGGGGAAGAUGGAAUUAGUUGUGUAGGGGUAAAAUCCGUAGAGAUAACUAGGAAUACCAAAAGCGAAGGCGAUCUUCUGGAACAGUACUGACGCUGAGGCGCGAAAGCGUGGGGAGCAAACAGGAUUAGAAACCCGUGUAGUCC
rnacentral:rRNA from 1 species